CCUAAACACACAGAACAUUUAUCACCAAUACAGAAGUUGAAAGCGAAGAAAGAAGAGAUGGAGAACUGGUGGGAGAAGAAAGCCAACGAAUGGAAACAGGAAUGGAAUACUUUUACAGAUGAAAUGGAAAAAGGAUGGGAGAAAGAGAAGGCAGAAUGGUCACACAGGCACAAGAAAUUUUGAAUAAAAAUUGUGUGAGUGCAUCCCGAGGAAAAAUAUUUGAAUGUAAAUGAUAUAUUUGAAAAUUCUUUGU